CAGCCGCCGCGGUAAUACGAAGGGGGCUAGCGUUGUUCGGAAUUACUGGGCGUAAAGCGCACGUAGGCGGAUCGAUCAGUCAGGGGUGAAAUCCCAGGGCUCAACCCUGGAACUGCCUUUGAUACUGUCGAUCUGGAGUAUGGAAGAGGUGAGUGGAAUUCCGAGUGUAGAGGUGAAAUUCGUAGAUAUUCGGAGGAACACCAGUGGCGAAGGCGGCUCACUGGUCCAUUACUGACGCUGAGGUGCGAAAGCGUGGGGAGCAAACAGGAUUAGAGACCCCAGUAGUCCCUGUCUCUUAUAC
rnacentral:rRNA from 1 species